rnacentral:lncRNA from 1 species
ACAAUUUAUCCCCAGAAGACAAGGAUAAAAAAAGAUGAAGAUUUUGCUAAUUGUCUCGUCCAUUUUUUGGAUGAGCCAUGUUUUAGUAAUCUUGAUUAUGAAGAUAGUAAUUUUCGUGAAAAUAGAUUUAAGUAUCGGAACAAACCUACAAUGAUGAAGAAAUUACGGGAUGCUGCUAGUAGUAAAACAAAAAAGACCGUUAUUGUUCUUUACAAAAGAAGAAAAAAGUAUGUUGCUCAUUAUCAAAGGUAUGAUUUUUGUGUAUCUGAUAGAUUAAUUUCUCUCAUAUACAUUAUAAUUAUGUAUCAUAGUAUAUAGAAAAUUUAACUAAUGGUAAUGUAAACAGUACUGAAUUUGAUACAUAAGUAUAAUGCACUGAGACGUUGCAUAUUAUACAUAAGUAUAAUGCACUAAGACGUUGCAUAUUUUCUGAUACAUACAUAAACGGUGAAUCCGAUACAUAAGUAUAAUGCACUAAGAGGUUGCAUAUUUUCUAUAUAUAAACGGUGAAUCUGAUACAUAAAUAUAAUGCACUGAGACGUUGCAUAUUUUCUAAUACAUACAUAAAUUUACAUGCAAUUUAUGUUCUUAUAUCAUUAUAUCUAAUACAUACUAAAUUUUGAAAUUAUUUUGGAUUGUCUUGCAACUUUUAUAUUCAAAAUAUUGAGUACAACUGAUACACAUGUAUUGUAUUUAUAGUUUAUUUGAAAAAACACUUAGUAUCUUAUGUAGCAUUAUCAAUAAUAUGUUUUGGAUUAGUUAUGUAUAAGUUUUUCUAACAUUUUUUGUGGAUUUAGUUUUGUAUUUUGUGCAGCAAUUUGAUUUAGAGGAUUUGAAAGAAUUGUGAUUGGAGGAUAUUGAUGACGGUGAUUCAAAUUUGAAUUUGAUUUAGAGGAUAUAAGAGAAUUGUGAUUGAAGGAUGUUGAUAAUUGUGAUUCAAAUUUGAAUUAUGAAUUUGUUGUUAAUUUUCAGGAAUUCAAGAAACAUAUUCCAAUCAAAAUCCCAUUAAUUUCUCUGUCAUUUAAUCUCUUCCCAUUACUUUUCUUUUUCAUAGGCAAUUAAUUUGCUAGUUAUGUAUCUGAACUUAUGUAUCUGGAUGAGAUUUGGUGUAAUUAUGAAAAAAGUUGGGAGAGAGUGUAAUUAGGUAGGAAACUAUUGAGAUUUAUGUUAUUUGCCCUAAAAUUAAAGGGAGUUGGCCAAACCCAUCGAUAGGCACUCAAACUUGUUGUGAAAAUUCA